UACGAAGGGGGCUAGCGUUGCGCGGAAUCACUGGGCGUAAAGGGUGCGUAGGCGGGUUUUUAAGUCAGGGGUGAAAUCCUGGAGCUCAACUCCAGAACUGCCUUUGAUACUGAAGAUCUUGAGUCCGGGAGAGGUGAGUGGAACUGCGAGUGUAGAGGUGAAAUUCGUAGAUAUUCGCAAGAACACCAGUGGCGAAGGCGGCUCACUGGCCCGGUACUGACGCUGAGGCACGAAAGCGUGGGGAGCAAACAGG
rnacentral:rRNA from 1 species